rnacentral:rRNA from 1 species
GCUAGCGUCGGCUCGCGGCCCGCGGUAAGACUAAGGGGGCUAGGUUUGCUGGUAAUCACUGGGCGUAAAGCGCACGUAGGCGGAUCGCUAAGUCGGGGGUGAAAUCCUGGAUCUCAACUCCAGAACUGCCUUCGAUACUGGCGAGCUUGAGUCCGGGAGAGGUGAGUGGAACUCCGAGUGUAGAGGUGAAAUUCGUAGAUAUUCGGAAGAACACCAGUGGCGAAGGCGGCUCACUGGCCCGGUACUGACGCUGAGGUGCGAAAGCGUGGGGAGCAAACAGGAUUAGAUACCCUAGUAGUC